CACGUAGGGCGCGAGCGUUGUCCGGAAUUAUUGGGCGUAAAGAGCUCGUAGGCGGCCUGUUGCGUCCGCUGUGAAAGCCCGGGGCUUAACCCCGGGUCGCAAUGGAUACGGGCAGGCUAGAGGUAGGUAGGGGAGAAUGGAAUUCCCGGUGUAGCGGUGAAAUGCGCAGAUAUCGGGAGGAACACCGGUGGCGAAGGCGGUUCUCUGGGCCUUACCUGACGCUGAGGAGCGAAAGCGUGGGGAGCGAACAGG
rnacentral:rRNA from 1 species